rnacentral:lncRNA from 1 species
GGGGAAAUGAUUAUGAAAUCCUGCCACAUUCAAUGGUAGGGUGUAUUAACUGCAAUUUGUCAUUCAUCUAUACUUAAAGUUUAGUUGCUUGCAUAUGUUUCUAAGUGCAUUCACAAGCUGUCUCAUAAUAAAGCCAUGGAGACGUAGGUAAUGUAGAGUUUAAUGGCUAUUGCCUUGAUUCAGAAAGGUGAGAGAGUCACAGCUUUGCAGAGUAACCCAGAAUAAGUUGUUACAUUUCUCCAAGCUUAUUUAGUAAUUUACAAACUAACCCUCUGCCCUCCUUUCUCUUCAGGUGAACCACAAAUAUCUAACUGUUUUCCACAUGAAGAUGUAUCUGUCCCAGAGCUGAACAUGCACCUGGAGCCAGAGGACUCUAAGGAGCUGGUUUUGAAGAAGAAGCUUUGCCUCCUUUUCCCUGCCUACUUUUGGGUACAGGCAAACCCUCUGCUUUUAAAUAGCCAGUGAAGCUAAAAAAAACUUGCUAUAGUUCUUGGGAAUGUGGCUUGGACCAGAGUCACCUACAUUCAGCCCCAAAAAGCUAUUUUGAAAUGUGAAAUACAGACCUAACCCCACAAUUAUGUAGAGCAGGCGAUGACCUGCAUUCUGUGGUUUCGAGAGAAAUCUGGAUUUGGAUUCCUUUACUGUUU